AUUCUGUUAGUGGAAGGGGUUUAAGUUUCUCUGAUAUUCCUCAACUGCUUUUGGUUGAUACUGUAGGAACCUGAAACUCUUCACCUGCUCCACCUCAGCACCACUGACGUAGACAGGAGUGUGUCUUUAUCUCCAUUUUCCUGAAAUCGGGGAACAGCUCCUUGGUUUUGCUGACGUUGAGCAAGUUAUCUCCAUGUUGGGGGAUGCAGUCGUGGGUGUACAGCGUGAACAGGAGGGGGCUGA